rnacentral:rRNA from 1 species
AGAACGAACGCUGGCGGCAGGCUUAACACAUGCAAGUCGAACGCCCCGCAAGGGGAGUGGCAGACGGGUGAGUAACGCGUGGGAAUCUACCUGGUUCUACGGAAUAACUGAGGGAAACUUCAGCUAAUACCGUAUACGCCCCAAGGGGGAAAGAUUUAUCGGUGCCAGAUGAGCCCGCGUUGGAUUAGCUAGUUGGUGGGGUAAUGGCCUACCAAGGCGACGAUCCAUAGCUGGUCUGAGAGGAUGAUCAGCCACACUGGGACUGAGACGCGGCCCAGACUCCUACGGGAGGCAGCAGUGGGGAAUAUUGGACAAUGGGCGAAAGCCUGAUCCAGCCAUGCCGCGUGAGUGAUGAAGGCCUUAGGGUUGUAAAGCUCUUUCAGUGGGGAAGAUAAUGACGGUACCCACAGAAGAAGCCCCGGCUAACUUCGUGCCAGCAGCCGC